AUUCAAACUGUGUUCAGGGACUGUUUCAUUUACCUCUGCUGUCUGAUCCACCAUGAAGCUGUAUGUGAUCGUUCCUCUGUGUGCUCUGUUCACCCUCACCCAACAGGUGCACCAUGAUUAUAAGAGUGGAAGAUCUUCAUGUUCACCAGUCACACUGUAAAGAAACAAAUGAAGUCCGUCAACUGCUCACCAUAAUGCAGUAAAACUCAGGAGGAAGUGCCUGCACACAUCUCUUUUGUGGCAAUGGGCAUUUAUGAUUUGGGACAUUUCAGAUUAAAGCUGCAACAAUCAGUCAAUUAAGCAAUUAGUUGUAAAUUAUUUCAAUUAACUAAACUAAAUAAUAAAAUUUGCUAUUUUGAAUUUAUAGUUUUGAGUCAUUUUUAAACAUAAAUCUAAAUUUUCUGAUUUCAGCUUUUCAAAAUGUGAACAAUUCUAAUCCAAAGACAGACAGACAUGCUUGAGUUAUUUGUUUUCAAUACUGGUCAGUGCUUUUUUUACUCCAGUGGCUGAGCCAAU